rnacentral:rRNA from 1 species
CAGUGACAUUAGUUAAACGGCCGCGGUAUCCUGACCGUGCAAAGGUAGCAUAAUCAUUUGUUCUCUAAAUAGGGACUUGUAUGAAUGGCCACACGAGGGUUUGACUGUCUCUUACUUCCAACCAGUGAAAUUGACCUUCCCGUGAAGAGGCGGGAAUAAGAAAAUAAGACGAGAAGACCCUAUGGAGCUUUAAUUAACUAACCCAAUGAUAAAAUCACAAACCCACCAACAGGUGCCAACACUACUACUAUCACAUGGGUUAACAAUUUAGGUUGGGGUGACCUCGGAGAAUAAAAUAACCUCCGAGUGAUACAAACCUAGACUAACCAGUCGAAGUACCAUUAUCACUUAUUGAUCCAAAACAUUUUUUGAUCAACGGAACAAGUUACCCUAGGGAUAACAGCGCAAUCCUAUUCAAGAGUCCAUAUCAACAAUAGGGUUUACGACCUCGAUGUUGGAUCAGGACAUCCUAAUGGUGCAGCAGCUAUUAAUGGUCG